GAGAGAGAGAGAGAGAGAGAGAGAGAGAGAGAGAGAGAGAGAGAGAGAGAGGGAGAGAGAGAGAGAGAGAGAGAGAGAGAGAGAGAGAGAGAGAGAGAGAGAGGGAGAGAGAGAGAGAGAGAGAGAGAGAGAGAGAGAAAGAGAGAGAGAGAGAGGAGAGACAGAGAAAGAGGGAUGGAGGGAGGUAGGGAGGGAGAGAGAGAGACACAGACACAGACACAGAGAGACAGAGACAGAGACAGAGAGAGAGAGAGAUUAGGUUUGACAGCGGAGAGCAGCAGAGGUGCCAUUUGUGACACCUGUUUAGAACACAGGGGCGUGCUCGAUACGCGUGGAGAGACAAAAUAGAAAACAUCUCUAGGCUGUGUGUUAAUCAGGAAUCAUGGCGGCAGCUGAUGCACAGGAAGUUGCAGAAGAAACAGAUGAGUAGCCGUGACGUCUCUUUCUGUGAUGGCCAUGCUGUUCCUCUUCUGCCCCUCGUCAACCUCCAUUACUACCAUGCGAGACACUCAGCAUUCAUCACAUAUCACAUGACCCAAGGCCGGAAUGCAUAUGGUUGAUUGAUGGAUUAUGGUUUCAAAACUGACUGCACUGUAAUGCACUGUAUAAUAUACAGAGAUUACUUAAAGUCUAUACUGAGUUUAAAUGGAUCGAGAAAACAGCCAAUAGUCUCCCUUAAAAUCCACGAGGAGUUCCAAAAACGUAAUGUAGUGUACCACUGACUAAAUGACGUUAUAGAAUAGUAGUUCCUUGGAUUUGUUUUUUGCAAAGACAGAAAUAGCCAUCAUCUCUCCAUCAUGCCAGUGGGAUACUGCUAACCUGUACCGCAUAGCUGACGGGCAGUAUAGGCGACUCCUUUCCGCUGCAAGCUGUAAUCCAACUUUCAAACAAUAUCCUCCUGGCUGAACUGUCCUGUAAUUGGAAGAGACAUCCACUGUGUCAACUUCAGCAAGGCGUUCUCCGGAGAGACCAGCACGCGUCUGAAUGAAGGAGAGACACAGUAGCAACCACACACACACACACAC
ensembl:lncRNA